rnacentral:lncRNA from 1 species
UUAGAUAUGUAGUCAAGGCAAUUAAACUGAUUACAUUUUUAAAUUUAAUAGUUAAUUUAGCGAAUAUCUCUUGGUCAAAAUGCCAACUAGGUAUUGUAGAUUAUAAUUUUAGCUUUGCUGAAGUUAGUGAUAUUAUUAACAUUAGGAAAAGAUAACUCUGCAAUGCUUAAUAUUUGUAAGGAUAUAUACGCAAAUUCUCCAACAAACAAAGACAAAUAACGAAUAGAAAUAGGAUUUUUCCAAUUAGAAACCCUUUUGCCCCGAUACAUGUAGGAAAAGCCCCACUACCGAUUAUUAGGUACUCUAUUCAUGGGUUUGGAGAAUUAGGGUUAGGGUUUCUCUUUUAUCUUUUCUCCCUAGUUGAUUUUACGGCCCUAAUUUUUCGAAUUCCAAAUCUCCAGGGUUUUGAUCUCGUCGUUGUUUGAUUGUGAUCUCAAAUACCCGAACAAUGCCCGCGGAAUCGAGCGCGAAAGCGCCUCCGAAGGUGGUGAAGCUCGAUAGAGCCUUGAAGCUG